AAACCCAGAAUGGAAUAGAAAACACCAUUACAUGUAUCUUGAGACAAAACAAUUGCAGAGGUUAAAAAUAAUUGGUUCAAAAAACUUUUGUGAGUAUGAAAAAACACUACUAAAACAAAUUUUGUCAAACCAGUUAUUGAAAGUAAAGACCAUACUACUGCUACUGAGCAAAAUAAAGAGUGGUUGGCCUGCAUUUUGCAGUGAAUUCAAUGAAAAUGUAACAAAAGACUACAACAACUUCAGACUCUGUGGAAGAACCUUAAACUGGCUUUAAAAAGAGAAUGCAGAGAUCAGAAGAGAGUGAUUUACUACUGGUGGUGGACCACCAAAAAAAAGACAAGACUGAUGAAUCGAGUGACUUGCUGUCUGGAAUAAUAGAGCACCAGCAACCUCUGGAUGGUAUACCAGAUGAUGACCAUUUGGACAGUUCAGAUGAAGAUCUGAGCACAAAUGAGGAAAGGAAUCAGAACAGGUUGGAAGAGCCAGUGCACAGUGAGGGUGUACCCUCCACAUCUGCUAUAGCAUCCCUUAGAGAAGAUGCUGCCAUCGCCUUUCAGCAGAGAACAAAAAAGAUGACCAUUUAUGAAAAGUUAGCCAGAGAAUUUCAUGAGCUUAAAAUGAGAUAUCUGAAGGAAAAACAUGAAAUGAGAAUUAGUUUAGUUGAAUUGGAUAUGAAGUUGGAAGAGAGAGAUAUUAUACAGUAAUGAGACCAUCGUGAUUACCAGUCAUGGUGAACAAUAUGAUAUGUGAAAAAUAUUUUUUUUGUCAUUUGGAUAUUCAUGAGUGAGAGUAUUUUAAUCACCACAAAUGACAGUUAAACCAGCCUUGGUUUAGUCACCCAUUUAAUUUUGCUGCACACUAUUUUAAUGUCGUACAGAACAAACAUUAUCAAAGCAAAAAUAAGCCAUAACGAAUACAUUCCAUAUUUAAAUGCAUCUCAUCUAGUUGAAGUGCUGCAAUGUGAAAAGAACUGUGUGCAAGUCCUCGUUGGUCAUUGCCUGCCUCAGCCCCAUGGGCACAUCUGCUUGAUCCUGAUCUUCCAUUAGAGGAUCAGGACAGCAAUAUUGCUUUAAGUAGUUGUGCAGCACAGCUGUAGCAAUGAUCACAUUGCAGCAGCAUCUUUGCUUGAAACUAAGUGUAUUGUGUAAACACUGGAAUCGAUUUUUCCAUACUCCAAACAUACGCUUGACUAACCCUCUUGUGCGGAUAUGAGCUCUGUUGUAUCUUUGCUGCUCUGCUGUUGUGGGAUUUAUGUAUGGAGUGAAUAAAAAAUUACUCUGACCAUAUCCACUGUCACCAAGUAGUAGUCCACUAUGUUGUCCUCUCUGAAACUGAGCAGACAAUGAAGAAUUGAGAAAAAUCCUUGAAUCGUGAUUUGUAGCUUUCUAAUGGGGAACAAUGUUUGAAAACUCUAAAUUAGGAGUGCAUACACCCUGAACAUUGAUUUAAAAACAGUUCUUACGGUUCCUCAGCAUCAGGAGUUACUCCUCAGCAUCAGGAGUUGAUGGACACUUGAUGGGAACAUGAGAUCCAUCUAUACAGCCAAUCACUCCUGGGAUGUGCCCAUAUUCAUAGAAUUGCCAUUUUUGUUUGCUUGGCCAGGAGCGUCAGAAAACUUGAUGUAAAGACUCCUCAGUUCACAAAUGGCCCUGCAGACUUUAAACUAUUCUACACACAGUUGCUUCACUGGCACCACACAAAUCACCAGUUUCACGAUGAAAGAUUCCAGAUGCCAAAAACCUCAGUGUGAUCAGAACUUGGAGAGAAUUGGGUAAAGGCCUUCCUCCAUGAGACAGAGAGGAAAGUUUAGGCUCAAGCAAAGAUAUUAUCUCCAAGGCAAUUUCUUUGUACAUACGAAGGUGGUCUCAAAAACUAUUUCACCAAAGUAAUUUAAUGGAUUACUCCUAUCCGCAAAUACUCAUCUGGCUGGCCUCUGUAGCGCAUGUUGUUCUUCAUUUAGAUAUUGCAAAUAGUCCAUGCUCCCUCACAAACAGUACUAAGCAGAAGUUAAGCCUGCCUCUUUGAAGGAUUAAUUUAAGCUUAAAUUUAGUAAGAGUAGCUCUUAUCCUCCCUCUUGCAAUCGGCUUUGUUUAAUCCAGAACUGGAUAAAUCUACGACUAUUUUAAAAUAAAGCAACAUGCACAGACUUGAGUUAAGAUAGCUCAAACAGGCAUUUUAGUCUGGGACUAGGCUUAAACUUUGUCUGUGAAACAGGCCCAGAAAGCAUUAAACUGUAAAGAGAAGUUAAACAAGGUUGCCCACUAUCAGCAUAUCUAUUUAUUAUGACCAACUAAAUUAAAAAAUCAGAUCCAACAAUAAUAUCAAGCUGCUAGAAAUCCAGGGCUUAAAAACAAAAAAUGGUGGGUUGGAAAUUAUGCAGAAAAUUACAUUGAUAAAAGCCACAAUCUAUGGAAU